UAUUGGUCAAUGGACGAGAGUCUGAACCAGCCAAGUAGCGUGAAGGAUGACUGCCCUAUGGGUUGUAAACUUCUUUUAUAUGGGAAUAAAACAGGGUAUGCAUACCCUCUUGUAUGUACCAUAUGAAUAAGGAUCGGCUAACUCCGUGCCAGCAGCCGCGGUAAUACGGAGGAUCCGAGCGUUAUCCGGAUUUAUUGGGUUUAAAGGGAGCGUAGGUGGACAGUUAAGUCAGUUGUGAAAGUUUGCGGCUCAACCGUAAAAUUGCAGUUGAUACUGGCUGUCUUGAGUACAGUAGAGGUGGGCGGAAUUCGUGGUGUAGCGGUGAAAUGCAUAGAUAUCACACAGAACACCGAUUGCGAAGGCAUCUCACGAAUCCGCGAUUGACGCUGAUGCACGAAAGCGUGGGUAUCAAAC
rnacentral:rRNA from 1 species